rnacentral:rRNA from 1 species
AGUGAACGCUGGCGGCGUGCUUAACACAUGCAAGUCGAACGAGAACGGGUUAUAGCUUGCUAUAAUUGUCAGCUAAGUGGCGCACGGGUGAGUAAUGUAUAGGUAAUAUGCCUCUUACUAAGGGAUAACAAAUGGAAACGUUUGCUAAUACCUUAUACUCCUUAUUAACAGAAGUUAAUAAGGGAAAGACUUAUUGGUAAGAGAUUAGCCUGUAUUGUAUCAGUUAGUUGGUGGGGCAAUGGCCUACCAAGACUAUGACACAUAACUGGUUUGAGAGGAUGAUCAGGCACACUGGAACUGAGACACGGUCCAGACUCCUACGGGAGGCAGCAGUGGGGAAUAUUGCACAAUGGACGAAAGUCUGAUGCAGCAACGCCGCGUGGAGGAUGACACAUUUCGGUGCGUAAACUCCUUUUAUAUGAGAAGAUAAUGACGGUAUUAUAUGAAUAAGCACCGGCUAACUCCGUGCCAGCCGCCGCAGUAA